rnacentral:rRNA from 1 species
UACGUAGGGCGCAAGCGUUAUCCGGAAUUAUUGGGCGUAAAGAGCUCGUAGGCGGUUUGUCGCGUCUGCCGUGAAAGUCCGGGGCUCAACUCCGGAUCUGCGGUGGGUACGGGCAGACUAGAGUGAUGUAGGGGAGACUGGAAUUCCUGGUGUAGCGGUGAAAUGCGCAGAUAUCAGGAGGAACACCGGUGGCGAAGGCGGGUCUCUGGGCAAUAACUGACGCUGAGGAGCGAAAGCGUGGGGAGCAAACAGG